CGCUCUUUGAAAAACCAUUUUUAAAGGUUUAUAAUAUAUGAAGAGUCGGACCUGCCCGGUGACUAAAAUGUUAAACGGCCGCGGUACUCUGACCGUGCAAAGGUAGCAUAAUCAUUUGCCUUUUAAUUGAAGGCUUGUAUGAAUGGUUUGACGAGAACUAUGCUGUCUCUUCUUAAUUAUGAAAAAAUUAAUUUUUAGGUGAAGAAGCCUAUAUUUAAUUGAGGGACAAGAAGACCCCGUUGAGCUUUAGUGAUUUAGUAAAAAUCUGCAAUGUAAAAUGGAUUAAUUCUCACAUUGAAUGAAGAUAUUUUUUAUUAAAAAUCUUUAGUUGGGGCGACUAAGGAACAUAUAAAGCUUCCUUUAUAUAUUUUUUAGAAGAAUUCAGUCUAAAAGUGAUCCAAUAUUUAUUGAUCAAAGGAAAAAGUUACCACGGGGAUAACAGCGUAAUCUUUCUGGAGAGUUCUCAUCGAAAGAAGGGUUUGCGACCUCGAUGUUGGACUAAGAUAUCCUAGAGAUGUAGAAGUUUCUAAUGGUUAGUCUGUUCGACUAUUAAAAUCUU
rnacentral:rRNA from 1 species